rnacentral:rRNA from 1 species
UACGGGGGGGGCAAGCGUUGUUCGGAAUUACUGGGCGUAAAGGGCUCGUAGGCGGCCAACUAAGUCGGACGUGAAAUCCCCAGGCUCAACUUGGGAACUGCGUCUGAUACUGGAUGGCUUGAAUUCGGGAGAGGGAUGCAGAAUUCCAGGUGUAGCGAUGAAAUGCGUAGAUAUCUGGAGGAAUACCGGUGGCGAAGGCGGCAUCCUGGACCGAGAUUGACACUGAUGAGCGAAAGCUAGGGGAGCAAACGGG